GACGAACGCUGGCGGCGUGCUUAACACAUGCAAGUCGAACGGAAAGGCCCUGCUUUUGUGGGGUGCUCGAGUGGCGAACGGGUGAGUAACACGUGAGUAACCUGCCCUUGACUUUGGGAUAACAUCACGAGACUGGGGCUCAUACCGGAUAGGAGCUCCUGCUGCAUGGUGGGGGUUGGAAAGUUUCGGCGGUUGGGGAUGGACUGGCGGCUUAUCAGCUUGUUGGUGGGGUAGUGGCUUACCAAGGCUUGGAAGGGUAGGCGGCCUGGGAGGGGUACCGGCCACAAUGGGACUGAGAUACGGCCCAGAAUCGUACGGGAGGCAGCAGUGGGGAAUAUUGCGCAAUGGGCGGAAGCCUGAUGCAGCAACGCCGCGUGCGGGAUGACGGCCUUCGGGUUGUAAACCGCUUUCGCCUGUGACGAAGCGUGAGUGACGGUAAUGGGUAAAGAAGCACCGGCUAACUACGUG
rnacentral:rRNA from 1 species